CUAACACUGUGAGAAGUAACAGGCCCCCAACCGCGACCACUCGCCAGACGGGACAAUCCCAACCGGACCCCCAGAACACCACGAUAAGGGGAGGGACACGAAAUGGGAAGUGUAAGACCAGCUGGUUAUAUACCUUAAAGCCACCAACUUACAAGCCACAACACGGCAACUUAACUCACCACCCUGUAACGUGGAGCUAGGGGAACAGGGGAGAGACUAGUAGGGUAGAGCCGACCCAAC